CUUCCCUCUGCACCCGUAUCUGUCUCUGAGGCUACCUGUGAGCUUAGGCCCGUCCUCACAGCGAGACCCACGGUGUGAAGAUCCAAGGCUUUGGCGAGUCGCUCAGGAUUAGGAAGAACUGGCAGAGGAAGGAGGGGGCUGCAGCCAGGCCUCCACCCAGUGGGAGUGGAAUUCUGGAAGCAGAACAAAGGGGCCCAUUUCCACCUCCCCCCAGGCUGCUGUAGGAUGCAGAGGAGGACAGUGGGGCAGGGAGGGAAGGGCCCAGGACAAGGCCAUCUUUGUUUCCGUGUUGUUCCUCCCUGAGGCCUCUGCAAGGAAAGCCAAGUCCGAAGUCAAAAGACGCCACUUUUCUUCCACUCUCUCUCUGCAGAAGCCUUCAUCCUCUCAUUCACUCAACAGGUAUUUAUGGAGCUCCAGGGUACCAGGCUGUGGGCCAGGGGCUGAGGGUAGAAUGCAGAGCAGGAAGAGGGGACACACAAAUCACAAAUUACAAAUGCAAAGCCAUUUUCCUCUUGGCUGCUGAACCGUGCCAAGGCUCCAGCAAGGAGGAGGAGCCAAGAGAGGGUGACUUUGAGACCAACAGGUACACGCCUGGUUUCUCAGAGGCUGGCGUGAAGGCUCCCUCAUCCCUGAUUAUCAAACAGGCUCACGUGGCAGAUGGUUCACCAUCCUGGGAAUUCUUGAUGAAAAGUUAUUCCUGACUAUUGUUAAAGAUGGUAACGGGCCGAGCACCAUGGCUCACACCUGUAAUUCCAGCACUUUGGGAGGCCGAGGCAGGUGGAUCACCUGAGGUCAGGAGUUUGAGACCAGCCUGGUCAACAUGGUGAAACCCCGUCUCUACUAAAGAUACAGAAAUUAGCCGGGUGUGAUCAUGGGUGCCUGUAAUCCCAGCUACUUGGGAGGC
rnacentral:lncRNA from 10 species